UGCAAGUCGAGCGGACAGAUGGGAGCUUGCUCCCUGAUGUUAGCGGCGGACGGGUGAGUAACACGUGGGUAACCUGCCUGUAAGACUGGGAUAACUCCGGGAAAACCGGGGCUAAUACCGGAUGGUUGUUUGAACCGCAUGGUUCAGACAUAAAAGGUGGCUUCGGCUANCACUUACAGAUGGACCCGCGGCGCAUUAGCUAGUUGGUGAGGUAACGGCUCACCAAGGCGACGAUGCGUAGCCGACCUGAGAGGGUGAUCGGCCACACUGGGACUGAGACACGGCCCAGACUCCUACGGGAGGCAGCAGUAGGGAAUCUUCCGCAAUGGACGAAAGUCUGACGGAGCAACGCCGCGUGAGUGAUGAAGGUUUUCGGAUCGUAAAGCUCUGUUGUUAGGGA
rnacentral:rRNA from 1 species